rnacentral:rRNA from 1 species
GGGGGAUAUUGCGCAAUGGGGGCAACCCUGACGCAGCAACGCCGCGUGAAGGAUGAAGGUUUUCGGAUUGUAAACUUCUUUUAUUAAGGACGAAAAAUGACGGUACUUAAUGAAUAAGCUCCGGCUAACUACGUGCCAGCAGCCGCGGUAAUACGUAGGGAGCAAGCGUUGUCCGGAUUUACUGGGUGUAAAGGGUGCGUAGGCGGCUUUGCAAGUCAGAUGUGAAAUCUAUGGGCUCAACCCAUAAACUGCAUUUGAAACUGUAGAGCUUGAGUGAAGUAGAGGCAGGCGGAAUUCCCCGUGUAGCGGUGAAAUGCGUAGAGAUGGGGAGGAACACCAGUGGCGAAGGCGGCCUGCUGGGCUUUAACUGACGCUGAGGCACGAAAGCGUGGGUAGCAAACAGGAUUAGAUACCCUGGUAGUCCACGCUGUAAACGAUGAUUACUAGGUGUGGGGGGUCUGACCCCUUCCGUGCCGGAGUUAACACAAUAAGUAAUCCACCUGGGGAGUACGGCCGCAAGGUUGAAACUCAAAGGAAUUGACGGGGGCCCGCACAAGCAGUGGAGUAUGUGGUUUAAUUCGAAGCAACGCGAAGAACCUUACCAGGUCUUGACAUCCAACUAACGAAGUAGAGAUACAUUAGGUGCCCUUCGGGGAAAGUUGAGACAGGUGGUGCAUGGUUGUCGUCAGCUCGUGUCGUGAGAUGUUGGGUUAAGUCCCGCAACGAGCGCAACCCUUGCUAUUAGUUGCUACGCAAGAGCACUCUAAUAGGACUGCCGUUGACAAAACGGAGGAAGGUGGGGACGACGUCAAAUCAUCAUGCCCCUUAUGACCUGGGCUACACACGUACUACAAUGGAUGUUAACAGAGGGAAGCAAGACAGCGAUGUGGAGCAAACCCCUAAAAACAUUCUCAGUUCAGAUUGCAGGCUGCAACCCGCCUGCAUGAAGAUGGAAUUGCUAGUAAUCGCGGAUCAGCAUGCCGCGGUGAAUACAUUCCCG